rnacentral:tRNA from 1 species
AGCGAGUUGGAGAAGAUGGUUACCUCGGCAGUCUCAUAAGCUGCAGACUUCGGUUCGAGUCCGGAACGCGCUACAA